rnacentral:rRNA from 1 species
GUAGGUGGCAAGCGUUUGUCCGGAAUUAUUGGGCGUAAAGCGCGCGCAGGCGGUUCUUUAAGUCUGAUGUGAAAGCCCACGGCUCAACCGUGGAGGGUCAUUGGAAACUGGAGAACUUGAGUACAGAAGAGGAAAGCGGAAUUCCACGUGUAGCGGUGAAAUGCGUAGAGAUGUGGAGGAACACCAGUGGCGAAGGCGGCUUUCUGGUCUGUAACUGACGCUGAGGCGCGAAAGCGUGGGGAGCAAACAGGGAUUAGAUACCCUGGUAGUCCACGCCGUAAACGAUGAGUGCUAAGUGUUAGGGGGUUUCCGCCCCCUUAGUGCUGCAGCUAACGCAUUAAGCACUCCGCCUGGGGAGUACGGCCGCAAGGCUG